ACGCAGCACAAGCAUAUAUAUAUAUAUACCCGAAGGACUAGCUCUGCUGGUAGGUGUGCGCGGUAGCCAACUCUGUUCUCUCCGGGCUAGACAAGUGUGCGAGCAGCGUACCCUUGCUCUCCAGGGCGGCGCUUCAUUGCUCUGCCUUUGGACGCUUCCCGCUUCACGCUUCCUUGGCUAGAUUUAAGAGAGAGGAAGAGGCACCGCACAAUGGGUCGCCUGGAGGUGUGCAUCUGCGGUGCUCGCAACAUCGGCGACACCCGAAAGGCUGGUGCUCCCGACCCGUAUGUGAAGGUCGUGAUGGGCGACAGGAAAAAGACGCAGAGCAAGUACAAGACUAAGGUGGCCAGUAGCAGUCUCCACCCCGUCUGGAAUGAGGUGGUCAAGUUCCAGGUCGCCGACUACGACUCCGAACAGAUCGUUUUCGAGCUGUGGAACAACAACGUCAUUGUAGACGACCUGAUGGGCGCCUAUGCGCUCUCUUUGAACGGCUUGACGCGUGGCGUUGUGAGCGACUUAUGGGUCAUCCUCAAGGGCACGGGGCUCUCUUCGGCAGAGCUUCAUCUGCAAGCACUGGCGGUAGACUUUGGCGUGAUCCUCAGCCCAGCAGCAUGGUGGUGCGCUCCAUUGAGGAAUACAACGCCGCUGCGGCCACAAAGCAUGCAAUGAACACUACCGAGAUGAAGCAGGCGGCAUGUGCGGAUGACUUGGACUGCGUCCAGAAGCCAUCAUCCAGCGAGCCGGCGAUCGGCAUCCCGCUGCAGGCGCAGGUGGCACUUCCGCCGAAGCCUCAACCGCAGCCGUUCUAUACCCAGCAGCCAACCUAUGCGCAGCAGGCGCAGCCUCCACCCCACCCCAUCUACUAUCAGCAAGCGCCACUGCAAGGCAGCUACUACGGGGCGCCUCCACAGCCGCCCCAGUGCAUGUACGGCCCAUCGCCGAUUUGAAAUGUGGAUACAGGGAGCACACCGUGUGGGAGUGGCGGUUGCUGAGGUGGUGGGACGUGAUCCAGAGGGGAACGGGCCGCCAGAGUGCAGAGCGGGGGUGCACUUCCUGACUGGUAUGACCAGUACGCGGAUGUCUCCGUGGGCCUUGUCCCUUUUCGCGUUUGCCUCGCCAGCUGACCUCUUCAGGUGCGCUGUCUGCUGCGAUCCGAUCAUCUCGGAUCGCAUACGGCGCACCGUUUCGGGCCGUUUCUCUGGCCCUUGCCCGCUUUCUGUGCUGCUCUUUGCAAACGCAGCGCUCCGUCUCCGUAUAUAUGGAUAGAUGGGUGUGUGUCCAUAUAUCUACCGAUGUCUAUCUAUGUGUAUGCGCCGCCUUUUCUUUUGCGGGCUCGCUUGAUCCAGCGCCGGUGCCCGUUUCUCUCGCUCGCUCUCCGCUGUUUGCCUGCCGCCUUGUCCCUUUUUCUCUUUCGCUGCACAGUGACGGCCGCCUUUGCCUCUCCUCGCCUUUCCUUUUGCGCCUCCCUCUGCGUG
rnacentral:misc_RNA from 1 species